CACACCGAUAGGGUUUGGAGCCUCGCUUGGAAUCCAGCUACCGGAACCGGUGACAUUCCUCCGGUCUUCGCUUCUUGUAGCGGCGAUAAGACUGUUCGAAUCUGGGAGCAGAGCUCUUCCUCUCGCUCUUGGGACUGCAAGGCAGUUUUGGAAGAAACACACACAAGAACUGUUCGAUCUUGUGCCUGGUCAACAUCUGGGAAAUUAUUGGCCACUGCAAGC
rnacentral:misc_RNA from 1 species